UGCUUCAGUAGGCAAACGGACGGGUGUCUUCAUCCACCUCCUAGGCCGUGGUCUACCCUUCGUUCAAAUGUUUCUUCCUGCUAGCUGACUGUCCAGGUCCUUAGCUGUAUCACAUUGUUCAAAUGUGUGUGCGCAGGUGUUUCUUUUUCAACUAAUCAUGCAGGAAGUGGCGGGAUGCCUUACUGCCAUUAUUUGCUGAGUAUUUCCAGAUGGAACUGUAGUUGAUAGCCAAUAAAUUUGGUACGUUUUUAUCGGGAUGCGCAUGCCAUAGAUCGUCCCUGAGAUAAUGCUUUGCAAUGUGGAACCUGAAACACCUAUGUAUAAGCAUGAAUGCUGAGGAAGCAAAAAUUGUGAUUUUCCCCUCUCCAAUCCCACUGUUCAUUUAUCUUUAUUUGCAUCA
rnacentral:lncRNA from 10 species